UACGGGGGGAGCAAGCGUUGUUCGGAUUUACUGGGCGUAAAGGGCGCGUAGGCGGUCAGCACAAGUCAGUUGUGAAAUCUCCGGGCUUAACUCGGAAAGGUCAACUGAUACUGUGCGACUAGAGUGCAGAAGGGGCAACUGGAAUUCUCGGUGUAGCGGUGAAAUGCGUAGAUAUCGAGAGGAACACCUGCGGCGAAGGCGGGUUGCUGGGCUGACACUGACGCUGAUAAGCGAAAGCGUGGGGAGCGAACAGG
rnacentral:rRNA from 1 species